rnacentral:lncRNA from 1 species
GCAAGUUAACCAAGAAAAGCAGUGUGGUGCCUGUGGAAUCAAAGGAGGCAAAGCCUUUUCUUCGUAAGGGCUCGGGUACUGGAUCUGGUCAUAGUCCAGUCAUAAAGGCCAAAGUUUCACCCCUGCCUGAAAAAUCUUUGAGGGAAUCUACAGACUUCGUUCAAGUUGAGGAGAAUGAGAUGGCCUCUGUUGCUUCUGGUCCUCUUAAUCAACUGCAAGCCUGAAAAAUCUUUGCGGGAAUCUACGGACUUCGUUCAGGUUGAGGAGAAUGAGAUGGCCUCUGUUGCUUCUGCUCCUCUUAAUCAACUGCAGGACAGGGAUCUUGAGGAGUUAAAAAUCCAUGAAGCUGAAGU